rnacentral:rRNA from 1 species
AACGAACGCUGGCGGCAUGCUUAACAUAUGCAAGUCGAACGAGACCUUCGGGUCUAGUGGCGCACGGGUGCGUAACGCGUGGGAAUCUGCCCUUAGGUACGGAAUAACUCAGAGAAAUUUGUGCUAAUACCGUAUGAUGUCGAAAGACCAAAGAUUUAUCGCCUAAGGAUGAGCCCGCGUAAGAUUAGCUUGUUGGUGAGGUAAAAGCUCACCAAGGCGACGAUCUUUGGCUGGUCUGAGAGGAUGAUCAGCCACACUGGGACUGAGACACGGCCCAGACUCCUACGGGAGGCAGCAGUGGGGAAUAUUGGACAAUGGGCGAAAGCCUGAUCCAGCAAUGCCGCGUGAGUGAUGAAGGCCUUAGGGUUGUAAAGCUCUUUUACCAGGGAUGAUAAUGACAGUACCUGGAGAAUAAGCUCCGGCUAACUACGUGCCAGCAGCCGCAGUAA